CUACGGGAGGCUGCAGUGGGGAAUAUUGCACAAUGGGGGAAACCCUGAUGCAGCGACGCCGCGUGAGUGAAGAAGUAUUUCGGUAUGUAAAGCUCUAUCAGCAGGGAAGAAAAUGACGGUACCUGACUAAGAAGCCCCGGCUAACUACGUGCCAGCAGCCGCGGUAAUACGUAGGGGGCAAGCGUUAUCCGGAUUUACUGGGUGUAAAGGGAGCGUAGACGGUGGGACAAGUCUGAAGUGAAAUCCCGGGGCUCAACCCCGGAACUGCUUUGGAAACUGCCUGACUAGUGUGCAGGAGAGGUAAGUGGAAUUCCUAGUGUAGCGGUGAAAUGCGUAGAUAUUAGGAGGAACACCAGUGGCGAAGGCGGCUUACUGGACUGUAACUGACGCUGAGGCUCGAAAGCGUGGGGAGCAAACAGGAUUAGAUACCCCGGUAGUC
rnacentral:rRNA from 1 species